GGGAAAGCUUUGGGCUUUUUUGGGGGGCUCAUUCCCUUUGUUUCUCAAAAUAUCCCUGGCCCUGGCUGCUCUAAUCUCUUCCCAGAGUAGAGACAGCGAGGCUCCUGCUCCAGGAACACAGCCUGCUCCCUGAGACAGCACUCUGGCUCAGCCCUGGGGCCCCGGCCUGGGUGGCCCUCAGGAAGACCUUCUCCUUCAGUGGGGGUGCCUCCCUCCCUGGUGUGAAAUGGAACACUGUUUCUCAGAACCCCGCAUCCUGUGAAACCCUUGGGAAAAAAUAACCUCGAUGCCCACAGGCGAUUGUUCAGUACUUCCCACGCCUGACACUUGUCUUUGAGUAAGUCUGGUGGCGUUCUGGCCGGCCCCGCAACAGCGGGACUGUGUCUUGUGAUAUGAAGAGGUUCUUUUCCUAACCAUAUAUGUCUCCCCAAGAGCACCAAUAAAUAAUGUGGUUGCUCGGCCUGGGUUGUCUUUCCCUAGCUGGCCCAGGAGCCCUCUGGCCCCUGCUCGCGGCUUCUCCUGUUUCAAUUUCCAUGUCCUCUCCGAUUUGUAACUCAAGGAGCUCCCAGGCUUAGGAACAGAUGACGAGCUGGCCACUCCUGGCUGUGGCACCUGGGGAAGGGGCGAUGGGCAAUGACUUGCAGGCACACUCCUGGCUCCCUGGCCCCGGCUGCCGUGACACACUGCAAGCUCUGCCAGUCAGACUGACACUAUCAUCUCAACCUUAGUGGGGAUGGAUUUAGCAAGGUAAGUUCUCAGCCACCAGUGCUAAUAUACUGAUUUCUCAGUCUCUUUUUCACUGUAAUCUUUUCAGCAUUAUCCUUUGGUUAAGGCAUUUUCCUAACUUUGUCUUGCUUAAGAAGGCCAGGAUACAUGAGAAGAACUUCAUUUCUGAAGGUGAUGAGUAGACAGUGAGAGAAGCACACCAUGUCAGUACCAAACAGAUUAAAAGCAAUAGCUAAACUGACUCCCACAUUUCUGUUUGGAGUAAAAUGAAGCCUUUGUGAAUAAUCUGUAUUUUAAAUUAUUAGCUCUUGGGAACCUAAGAAAGGAGCAUCUGAUUUAACUUUUUAUUACCUCUUGGCAGGUGGUAGACAUUGAGCAAUAAAGGAUUCGUGGCAAGAUUUAAUGCUUAGAAU
rnacentral:lncRNA from 1 species